rnacentral:misc_RNA from 1 species
GAUGAAGAACGCAGCGAAAUGCGAUAAGUAGUGUGAAUUGCAGAAUUCCGUGAAUCAUCGAAUCUUUGAACGCACAUUGCGCCUUCUGGUAUUCCGGAAGGCAUGCCUGUUCGAGAGUCAUUAGCAACCGUUUCGAUCCCUUUCUUUCAGAAAUUACAAAGAGGAAAAGGGUUUGGUUAUGGUGGAGGAGGGAAAGGGAGCGUUUAGCCUGUAAAAAAAGAGGCUGUGUUCCGCCUCCCCCCCAAAAUUGUACAGGCGGUCGUGUGCGCCCACGCAUCGAGGUGUUGUAAAAGCUGCCACGGCACUUUUCACCUGUGCAGUGCGAGAUUGGCCAGCCGGUUUAAAAACCCCUCCAAACAAUCAAAGGUUGACCUCGGAUCAGGUAGGGAUACCCGCUGAACUUAAGCAUAUCAAUAAGCGGAGGA